UGUCUACGGCCAUACCACCCUGAACGCGCCCGAUCUCGUCUGAUCUCGGAAGCUAAGCAGGGUCGGGCCUGGUUAGUACUUGGAUGGGAGAAACUGAAUAAUUCCAAAAGCACUAAUAU
ensembl:rRNA 5S_rRNA 5S ribosomal RNA